GAGAUCAGGAGAGGUGGUGUGACUGGAACAAAGGGAAGCUCUAGAGGGCCAUACAGGGGAGCCAAUAGGAGACCCCAGAAUUGAAGGGGCCAGGAGGAUAGCUCGGCUGGUUUCUAGGCCAAGGUUGGGUUAGUGAAGGAAGAAGCAUAAUUUAGAAGUACACCGACAGGAAAACCACAAGGAAGAGUAAGCGACGUUUCCCAGAUCUCCUUGUUUGGUUCGACUGUUGCAGUAGGGGAUGAUAGCACUGCUUCCCUGUGAUCUCCACCCCACCGCAAUCGACAUGACAAGCGUUGAAAUGGGAGCCUCACGGUGGCGCCCUCUACCUUUGCCGGCCCCUUCUGCAGCGAGGAGCAGGUCACUCUGCAGAGCACCGGUUCUCAAACUUGAAUAGUGGCUGGACCCCUUCUUAAAAGAACCGAUUCUUCUCUGACCUGGAAAACGUUCUACUUCCCAAAAGGAUCUUAUCGAAAUGAAUGCUCAUCAGGAACUGCCUGCUUUGAAGAAAAUCAUAAGGAAUCCAUUUAGUUUGCAUGAUUGGAACUCUGGGUCUUUUCCAAAAUAUGUGUGUUUGCAAGUGAAAUGGGGAGCCUGGUUUGCCCAUGUUCUGCAGAAUUAAAGUGCAGUCUGUGUCUUCUAUGCAAGAAAUCCAGCUUGGAUGUGAUAUAUUACCUACCUUAUAUUAGUCUUUAGGUGUCUGUGCCAGUUUGCUGGCAAACAAUAAAGGCUUUCUCUACUAGACUUCCAGAAAAGAGUUAAUUCUAUUAGAAAUGUAUUCUAUUAUGAAAUCCUAGCACUCAGAUAUUUAUAAUUUUUCAUUUUUCUGUGACGUAGAAAAGUAUGCAUACUCGAAUCAUUGGCAGCAAUGAAAAUAUCUGACAGUGCAGUCCAGGCAGAGGAGAGAUAUUUCAUCAACAAGUAUUUUUACACAGCCACUGUCCCCAGACCUGUAGCAGGCACUUCGGAGGAAAAUAAAGGCUCUGACUUCAGGGACCUACUGUCAAUUGAGGAA